rnacentral:rRNA from 1 species
CCUACGGGGCGCUGCAGUGGGGAAUAUUGGACAAUGGGCGAAAGCCUGAUCCAGCCAUGCCGCGUGUGUGAAGAAGGCCUUCGGGUUGUAAAGCACUUUCAGUGGGGAAGAAAGCCUUGGGGCUAAUACCCUCGAGGAAGGACAUCACCCACAGAAGAAGCACCGGCUAACUCCGUGCCAGCAGCCGCGGUAAUACGGAGGGUGCGAGCGUUAAUCGGAAUUACUGGGCGUAAAGCGCGCGUAGGCGGUCUGAUAAGCCGGUUGUGAAAGCCCCGGGCUCAACCUGGGAACGGCAUCCGGAACUGUCAGGCUAGAGUGCAGGAGAGGAAGGUAGAAUUCCCGGUGUAGCAGUGAAAUGCGUAGAGAUCGGGAGGAAUACCAGUGGCGAAGGCGGCCUUCUGGACUGACACUGACGCUGAGGUGCGAAAGCGUGGGUAACAAACAGGAUUAGAUACCCCAGUAGUC